rnacentral:rRNA from 1 species
UACGUAGGGGGCUAGCGUUGUCCGGAAUCAUUGGGCGUAAAGCGCGUGUAGGCGGCCCGGUAAGUCCGCUGUGAAAGUCGGGGGCUCAACCCUCGAAAGCCGGUGGAUACUGUCGGGCUAGAGUACGGAAGAGGCGAGUGGAAUUCCUGGUGUAGCGGUGAAAUGCGCAGAUAUCAGGAGGAACACCCAUUGCGAAGGCAGCUCGCCGGGACGUUACUGACGCUGAGACGCGAAAGCGUGGGGAGCAAACAGG